GCAAUUAACUUUCCUUGCAUUAUAACCUUGGUACAGACUAUAUAUCCUAAACAGUAUAAAAAGUAUUUUAAAAUGAAAUGGUUCCUCAAAAAAGCAUCACCCGAUGGCAAACCAAGUUUCAAGGAAAUUUCUCCAACAUUUACCCCCUUCCCCCCCUCCAGGGGGCCAAACCUUCCAAUUUACAUACCACCCCCUCCCCCCAGAACUUGCUGAUUCAUAGUCAUUUAUUUAAAUAUAUUUUUGUCCUAGGAUAUUUUCUUUAGUUUUUAGCUUCUACUGAAAACUAAGUCCUUGAUAUUCAAAAGUUAUAGCCUUACAAUUCUAGGAAUAAGGGCACGGAGCAGUCUGAAUUAUUUGGUGGGAAAAAUGGGGGCAUGUAUGUUUACAAGAAGCUUGGACAUUAACUUACUAAAAGGAGUGUAAGCGCAAGGUUAAGGUUUGAUGAAACUCUCCUGAGUAGAGCUAAACAAGCCACUAGAACAGAAUCACUGUA